rnacentral:rRNA from 1 species
GUGAGGAAUAUUGGUCAAUGGGCGGGAGCCUGAACCAGCCAAGCCGCGUGAAGGAAGAAGGCGCUAAGCGUCGUAAACUUCUUUUGCCGGGGAACAAAAGCCGUCACGGGUGGCGGUCCGAGUGUACCCGGAGAAAAAGCAUCGGCUAACUCCGUGCCAGCAGCCGCGGUAAUACGGAGGAUGCGAGCGUUAUCCGGAUUUAUUGGGUUUAAAGGGUGCGUAGGCGGUCUGUUAAGUCAGCGGUAAAAGCCCGGGGCUCAACUCCGGCGAGCCGUUGAAACUGGCGGACUAGAGAAGGCGAGAAGUACGCGGAAUGCGCAGUGUAGCGGUGAAAUGCAUAGAUAUUGCGCAGAACUCCGAUUGCGAAGGCAGCGUACCGGCGCCUGACUGACGCUGAGGCACGAAAGCGUGGGUAUCGAACAGGCUUAGAUACCCUAGUAGUCC